GAUGAACGCUAGCGAUAGGCCUAACACAUGCAAGUCGAGGGGCAGCACGAAAGCGUAGCAAUACAAUUUUGGUGGCGACCGGCGCACGGGUGAGUAACGCGUAUGCAACCUACCUACUACUUUGGGAUAGCUCGUUGAAAGACGAAUUAAUACCUUAUAAAACAGGGGCUCCGCAUGGAGAUAUUUGUUAAAGAUUUAUCGGUAGUAGAUGGGCAUGCGUUCCAUUAGUUAGUUGGUGAGGUAACGGCUCACCAAGACAACGAUGGAUAGGGGAACUGAGAGGUUUGUCCCCCACACUGGAACUGAGACACGGUCCAGACUCCUACGGGAGGCAGCAGUGAGGAAUAUUGGUCAAUGGAGGCAACUCUGAACCAGCCAAGUCGCGUGAAGGAUGACUGCCCUACGGGUUGUAAACUUCUUUUUUAAGGGAAUAAAGUGAGCCACGUGUGGCUUUUUGCAUGUAC
rnacentral:rRNA from 1 species